rnacentral:rRNA from 1 species
AGCGAACGCUGGCGGCAGGCUUAACACAUGCAAGUCGAGCGGGCGUAGCAAUACGUCAGCGGCAGACGGGUGAGUAACGCGUGGGAACGUACCUUUUGGUUCGGAACAACUGAGGGAAACUUCAGCUAAUACCGGAUAAGCCCUUACGGGGAAAGAUUUAUCGCCGAAAGAUCGGCCCGCGUCUGAUUAGCUAGUUGGUG